rnacentral:rRNA from 1 species
CCCGCAGCACAAGUGGUGGUCAUUAUUAUUGGGCCUAAAGCGUCCGUAGCUGGCGUGUUAGAUGCCUGGGUAAAUCGAUGCGCUCAACGCAUCGAAUUCCGGGUAGACCGGCACGCUCGAGACCGGGAGAGGUGUAGGGUACUCGGGGGGUAGGGGUAAAAUCCUGUAAUCCUCCGGGGACGACCAGUGGCGAAGGCGCUACACUAGAACGGCUCUGACAGUGAGGGACGAAGCCCUGGGGCGCAAACCGGAUUAGAUACCCGGGUAGUCCAGGGUGUAAACGCUGCCGACUUGGUGUCGGGGAUCCUACGAGGGUUCCCGGUGCCGGAGAGAAGUCGUUGAGUCGGCCGCCUGGGGAGUACGGUCGCAAGACUG